GGCCAAAAGGAGCCCCAUCCAUCUAUCACACGUGUAGACAAAGGGGGACUCCACAACACAAAGCUAGAUGUGCCCUCUUAAACUUUUUACCACGACGCACGGCGACGCGCGCACAGCCCAGCACAGCACCCACAGGUGAGUUGUCUCCUGUCUUGUUUUGCUUGCACCCCUGCUGCGAUUGUCGAAUUUAUUUCCAGUGAAAAGUUGCUGCUGUAGUUGGUGCGUCAGCGCUCAAACUUGAGCACAAAGCAGAGGAGAAAGGGAGAGAGACAUAGAGAAACACAGGCAGCGAGGAGAGAGAGCGCGAGAGGAGCGGUCCCCUUUUCCUUUGUCUGAUGCGGGGCGCUUUGAGGAGAGAACUUAAGGGGAUGCUCAGGCACGCAUCUUCAAAACGCUCAAUAUUAAUCAGCAGAUCAUACUUUGAAAUUAUCGAAAGAGAGCUUUUGUGAAGGUGAGAUGGAGUUUGUGUUGCUGACGGAUCUUUGUCUCAUGGGGAUGUUGCGGCGCACAAGACAAAGCAACUGCCUGUCAGAAGUUUGCGGAGAAGAGUGCUUUUACGCACACUGCAAAAAGACAAAAUAUGACAAUUAUUAGUUGAUAAAGAGUUUGUAAAUAGUUUUCUCCUCUUGCAGUUGUUUGCUGACAGCGGUGUUUGCGGUCUAGGCGAAGUUGCCAGCGCUCUGUGGGGAUUCAGAACAAUGCAAUCAGGUGUAAAGUCUCAAGAAACAACUGAAACAGAAUCAAACUUGUUGCACGGAGAAGAAAUAACGCUUUAAGGGAAGAAAGGGUAUUGACAAAAUAGUUUCGUUUGGAUAAUCUCCCAGCAACUUGUUGUAGUUUAUUUGAGACAGAGCAACAGGUAUAAGUCGCUGCAGCUUCUUUGUUACAGUAAAGGCUCCUUUGUUCUCAGUCCAUACAAAGAAAAGCAGCAGAAAGGAGCGCAAAUCCCACAAGGAAACAAGUUUUUCUUACGCUUUCAAUGAUAUUCAGAGGAUGAAAAAUAUUUUUAAAUUAUUUUUUCCACCCAAAAAGUGUUGAAAAAGCCUUUAUCUCCCCCUUUCUUUAAAUAUUUAAAAACAAACCGGAUCCUUCUGAGAUAUAAAGUUAUUGACUUGACGUUUAUUUCUGGAGAGUAACUUCGAUUUAAUCCGGUGUCUUUCACACUAAAGGAACAAGUUUACACGAUUUUUACAAACUUUUUCCAACAUAUGAAGGUGUGGCCAAACAACUUGUUUGAAUUUGCUGCAUUCCAUUGUACAAUAGCCCUACCCUUAAACUUUUUAGACAACAUAGAACAUAGAAAGCACUUUUUAACAUUUAUUGAAUUGUAAAAUUAACUGAAGUUUGCAUUUUAAUAAAAAAGGUUUUUCUGAAAAGUUAUUUUUAACUUUUUCAUCUAGUUUUCUAAGUCAGAGCAACUUUUACCCAGCCCAUUAUACGGCAUUUGGAGUUUGUAGUUUAAUUGUAAUUACUCCUCUUAUGGAUUCUCAUUUUUGUUGUAGGAAAAUUUGUUGAAAUAAGUUUUAUCUUCACCAUUUUCCCUUUCCCCCUCUAUUCCUCCAGGAUCUGUCUUUAGAUGGAGUUUAGCACCAGAUUACCCAGCAGAGCGUUUUCUCCUGUGGGCGUUUGAGGAAAUACAAAUAUGUGGAAAUCACAUGGAAGAUGUACCAAAGGCACCUAUCAAGCAGCUUUGGAGACGCGGAGGCGGAUUAGGAGACUGUGCAGUUUUUCUUUUGGAGAAGGUGAAGACUCAUCUCUGAAGGAUUUAAACCUCAGCAGCAGCAGUGCCAGGCAGGAUGCAUUUUAAGCACACUUGGAAAUCUAAAACUCGUGGAGGACCUUUGAGGAUUAUAAAAAUGUGCAGCUUGUCUCUCCACAAGACUCAUCCAGAGCUGAGGCCCAAAGUCACUCCGAAAGUGGGCUGUGAUCCUCCUCGGGCCCUCUGCGUUGUGGGUAGGUGAUCAUACAUUUUCCUGAGAUGUUACACUUGCUCAAACACUUGUUUGUGGGGCUGUCUUGCUCACUUUGAAGCAGAAGAGACACAUGUGCACAAACGUUACUUGUUCCUCAAAAUCAGUUGUUCCAAAAGAAAAGUGUGGGCCUUUUAUCGCAACAUUUGAGCACGGCUACUUGUGGAACAAUAAAAAAAAAAUACAGCUGAAGUUUGACUAAUUUGUCUCUAAUGAUUUAAUGCCCAAAAGCAUUUUAAAACCACUUUAACAUACAACCCUGCUACUAUUAAGACAACUGUAUCAAGUGAUUAAGUAAUUCACAGCUUUAACACGAGCUGAGCAGCCACUCAUUCACUCAGUUUACACCACAACUGAAAAUCCAAACUGCAUUGAAUGGAUAGGCCUACUGAAACUUUUCCACUACCUCCAGUCGCAUUGUUGGAUGCCAAGACUCGAAGUAAGGGCUUCCCACACUUACUUACAUACUUGUUGCACAGUCAAAAAACACACUGGGCCAACAGCUCUCCAUGAUCACUGGUCUACACUGUCAUAUCAUGCUGUAAAUACAUAUAAGAUCAAAUUUAUGUUUUCUAUCUGUGAACAUCACUUCUUGAUGUCCUUGAAUUAUAGAGAAGUUUUCAUAAGUUUUUCCACAUUGAUAUGUUUAGCACUAGGGCAGCAUCUGCAAAGUUUUUGUCUCGGCAGACUUUCUCACUCUUUGAGGGAAGUUUUGUUAUUUUUUGGGCCCUUGUUGAUACUUUCACUAAUCGUGACACUACUUUAGUCCAUGUCUGGAUUAUAUGAAAAAAUAUAAAACAACACUGUUAAGUACUGAUAUCUCAACAAAAAGUUAGACUGCUUAUUUGCUAAAACUCACAUUUUAAUGUCUAACUGCUGUUUAUCAAGACAAUAUCUGUGCAGCAUUUUGAAUUUUCAACAUGUUUUUCCAGAUAAAUAUAUAAGUAUAUACUAUACUAUAUACUUAUAUACUAUAAGUUUUUUUUUUUUUAUUUGCUCAAAUUAAUCUGAGGGUUGCAGAUGGCCAGCUUCAGCUUUAUCUGAGUGCAUCAAAGUUGUGAAAGUACAUGGCUGUUAUAUUCAACAGGUGAGAUGUAACCGUGUUGAGUGACAAAAGGCUGAUUUUCUUUUACAUCAAAUCAUUUUUCAUUACAUUAAAUGCAUUUUCAUCAGGAAUAUUUAUAAUUACUGUGACUUUGUGAUUGGUGCAGCCCUCUGUUUGUGAGUUUACUUGUGUUUUUAGUGUGUUCUUUGAUUAACAGGGAUACUGCAGCAAUACUAUAUUGUCAUAAACCUGAUUGUGGUGUUGUUGAUCUUUAAAUUGAACCCAGUCGCAGCAAUGUUUCCUAGCAUCUAGAGUUCAAUUAGGAGACAUGAUUGGAAAGAGUAAGCUAUAAAAUGAUGACUCUGCACGUCAAUUGUUCUUUUUUUACGCAGCAGUUAAUUUAAACAAGCCUGCUGUAUCUUUGCUAUAAAAAGUUAUGAGAUUCAAGCAGUCCUGCUAACUCCUGCCUGUGUGAGAGCCUGAGGGAGAGAGAGAGAGAGAGAGAGAGAGAGCAACACACUCUCCUUAUCAAUGAUGUCAUUAACAGCCAAUCAGAGCAUGCUUGUCAGCAUCCAAGCUCCGCCUCCAGUCUGUGCAUGGCAGCCCACAUGGUCCUGCAGCAUCACAUUUUUGCCAUGCUUUUCUCUGCUGCAGAGAGGCAGCAGCAGGAAAGAGAUGCUGCUCUGGGCUGUGUACUCUGAUGUUAAUCUACCAUGUCUGCUCGGAGACAGCUUGUUUACCACAGUAAACAUAUGCAAGUGAGGACAGAUUUUUUUUUUCUUUUUGCAUCGUUGAUAAGCCAAAUUUACAUUGCACAUACCCCUAAAACAUUAGCUUGAAAUGAGAGUAUGGGGAAAGAACACCCAGACUAAUGAAGAUAAAUGAUCAGGAUGCAAGGCUCAGCACAGUGAGGGAGGUGCUAAAGAAGCAGACUAAUUCAUGUUUCUACAUAGUUUUCUAGAGAAAAUAUUCUGUAUAAAGAGAGACAGAUUUAAUUAAUACCUCAAUCCAGUGCUCAACAUCAAGAUUAUAAAGUAAAAACCCAAAGUAUAAGUCAACUGAUCAACCAUUUGGUCUGCACUUGUUAGCAGUUGAGCUAUUAGACUGGGGUUAAAACAGCAUUGACCGUGGCCCCCUGCCGCUUGAGUGGAACAGGCUCAGGUCACCGCCUGCAAAUGACCGGAUCAGUGAGAAUGUGGGUCAGUUAGCAGUGACACACAGGUGGGACAGAUAUAGGUCAGUGGUGGAGUCAGGGUACUGAUGACUCAUGUGUCUACGGUGAGCAGUGGCAGAGGAUACAAAAGAGCAAAGAGAAAGAGAGAAAAAGGUCGUUCAGUAGCUGAAAUGUCGAGAGAGAAAAUUUGUCCUUUUUGAGUGUGUCAGAAACCAGAGGAGCUGGAUUAUAGCUUAUGAGACCCAAGAGAGCAUGUCAGUCUGAUCUUGUUUUUUUUUUCUUUCUGUUGUACAUGUUCAUGUGUGAAUGUUAUAUUGGACACAGUAAAAUCUGAUUAUUGCACUCUAAAGCACACUUUUGGCUGAUUUUAAUCAUAGGAAUAGCAGCCCACUGCAAGAAUGCUGAUACUUUACUUUUUUCAUUUUCUAUAUGAACAUCUGCAUGUGGUCCAUAAGGAAUCAUUCGGGGCUCUAUAACUCUCUCACUCUGCUAUUUACCUACACAUAAUACAGUGCUGUGCAGAUUCAAUCCAAUACCAAGUUAAUGAACUUGAGAGUAAAACAGAAACAUCAGCUUAAGCAUAACUAAUCAUAGUGACAGGCCCAGCACUGAGCUCUUAAUAGGCAUCGUUUCUGCUACAAUACAGUCCUCUCCACUGUAUGCAGCUUAAUUACAUUGCUUAUCUGUAAUGCUAUUAUCAAGCACACUGCAGUUUUCAUAACAUUUGCCAUUUGCUGGACGCUUUAUGAGAGCAUGCGUUUUUUAUUCAGUGCAGAUGUCCCAGUGGGAGUUGAGCUUCAUGUCCUAAUCCAGUGAGUUACACUGGGGCAACAUUAGGACAGCAAUCUGUGGCAUCUUCCAGCUCUCAAAGUCUCAAUAUCCCUCUAAGCUGGGAUGCUCAUUAAAAUGGGCAAUGGUUUCACACCAUCUCUUUCACUGCAGCAUAUGCACAAGUAAAAUCUGUGUCACCAUAAUCUCCCCUCCAUCUGUAUUUGCUAUUACACUCAUAUAAAGUGCUUCAUUUGGUUUCUGCUGCAGUCUGAUUAGGACUACAAAGCAAAGCACUCGAGCAUUGAGCAUUUACACAAAACCUACAGCAAUAGUUUAUGGUUGGUGUUCUUCCAUUGAAGUUAUACUUCUGCAGCGCAUUGCAUGUCAUAAACUGGUCAGAUGUUAUGCAAACUGCAUUAGACGACAACAUCAGGCCUAGAAUAACUAAUCACUACUGUAAGCCUAAUUCUCCCAGACAUCCUGUGGUCAGCCUCAGGAAAGCUAUCAGGUUUAGUUUUAGCAUUGCUAACUUCUAGCUUCUGGGCAUUACAGCAUGAAGUCCCUCAUAGAAAACAUUCAAAUAGAUCCAUGUAUACACUAAAUGUUUUUUCUGGUUCAUCACACAACUUAAUGAUAACAGUAGGGGUCCAACAUGUUGUUGCAGCAUUAACUACAUGCACAUGAAACACUGUUGACCUACUACUGUGUAUGUUUACACUGUACCUCAUUACGUUCGGAUCACUUUUUUUGCAUGCGUAAAUGUAGUGCUUGAUGCUCGAUGAAAGCUCUGACAGAUGGACAAAUUCACUCUGAGUUGAAUCUUAGAAGUGGAACAGCCGCUCAAACAGAUUUUGGAUGUUUUAUGUACUCAGUGUCUUUACAGAAAGUUUGACUAAAUUGAUCAAGAGGAGCAAAUACUCAAACGACUGCAAUAAUAUCAUUUCCUUUUCUCGACAAGCUGAAUUUGGGUUGAUGCUCCCUUUGUGCGCAUCACAGAAUCACACAGCCCACUACACUGUGAGUGGAGUACAGUGAAUUACAGUGCAGUAAAACAUUAGGCCCACCAUUACUAAUCAUGACGACAGCUCUAAUUCUCCGAGCUACAGGCAUUCUGUGGUCAUCCUGUUGCAAACUAUCAGAGCUUAGUUUUAGCACUCAGUGCCUGUAGCCGCGAGAUAAGUUAACGUGCUCCGCUGGCAUUCUAAUACAGGCCCACACUGGGGGACGGGAAUAAAUUAUUUCUUUAUGACUGCGCACAAGGCACAGCUUUUGAAGGAGGAAUAGAGAGGGAACAGAGGGAGAUGAAGUAAGGAGAAGAGACAGGGGGGUAAAUGAUGGGUUAGAAAGAAAAGAAGGGAGAAGUGGAGAGGAAAGAAGACGGAAUAAACUAUAAGAACAAGACAGACAAGAUGUGUUAUAGUGCUUUUCAUUUCUUUCUCUUUUCACUUUAUAUUAUUUCCUCACCAGGAAAGAACACUUGUCUUUUUUUAUUUCUUACCUUGACUUUAUGGAAAACAGUCCUCCUGAGUCUCCCUUUAUUUUACAGCCAAUUGUAGCCUCAACUGAGAUGUCACAUCUGAAAAUAAUAUAUAUGUAUUUUUUUAUCACUUUGGCCUGAAGACCAUUUAACCUGCAUCCAACACUGUGUGACCCUUUGAGAGAUUUAGUCCUCAUUAGAAAUUUUCAAAUGAUGUGAGGAGUAGCUGGCGGAUAAUGAUGCGGGUAAAAGACACCACUUUAGCACAGAACAGAUCAUAUUUUAGGCCUCUGAAAGAGAUGAGGACUCUAUUCUGUGAUUCAGCUCAAUAUUUACUGUUUUCAUGUCUGGGUGCAUAAGUUCAUGUCCUCUGUUGUUCUGCUGUGUGUCUGGACUUUUCUGCUGACUGCACAUUUGCCCUCUGGGAUCACAGUGAAUUUAAAAGCAAACCACAGACAAUAACAUGACAAAUCAGUCGGAAAAUGCGAAAAAGGUAAGCGCCAAAUCAGAAUUAACUGGAUGAGAGCUCCCGAGCUGAGUUUUCUUUUGUUUUUGUCAACAGGUUUAAACUCUAUUUAGGAGUUAAACUUUCUGUUUCUCCUUGGGUAUACACACUGAGAGAAAACUAGCUCAGGAGAGAUGGAGCUGUUUGUCUGUCUGUCUACCACAGGUCAACUUAUUACCUCCAUAAAUGCACAGCAUGUUGCUGUCUGGGGCUGCACUGAUAAUCCCUCUAAAGACUGGGGUUUUAUCAAAGCUAAAUCUGCUGCCCACACACACACACACACACACACACACACACACACACACACACACACACACAGUAUCCACAAGGAAUAUCCACAUGGGACACACAAUAACAGAGUAGCCACACACAGACAUACAUACAAAAACAGACUGUCCCGGUAGACAGACAGACACGUGUAAAGACCAGGAUUUCAUCACAGACAAAUCUGUUAUUGUCUGGCAGUUAAGAGAUUAAGAAGCAGUCAUUUUAUAGAUACAUACACACACAUCCAUCCACCCAUGGGUCAUUUGAGGAUGAACACCAGCUUGCAUAUUGAGGCUUAAAGGUGAUACCGUCACUGAUGGGUUUUAAUGCUGUGAUUAAUUAUGGUUAAUGUUUUGAUAAGAAGUCGGUAAAUCAUUUGGGUGAUAGCUUUCAGAUCUGUGCUUGAUUUGUUUCAUUUAAUAUGCAGGCAGUCCUUUUACUGUGCUGUUUUUGUCGGAUUUAAAUUAUGAGCAGGUAUUAUUCACCUCAUUGUCCAUAUAUAUGAAGGCUUCAUUGGUCCGAGCUAGAGAUGUAAUACAUUUACCUCUUGUAUCAUGUUUGUAUGUAUGACUUUUUUUAAAUCUCAAUCACUUCUUCUGGUUAAAUAAAAGUUGGAUUUAAAAAAUACGUUUUUUUAGUUUUUAAUGCACAGUUCUGCAGAGAGCUGAAAUAAUUCUACAAUCUACCAUGUUUACUUGUUUCAGAAACAAAAGCCAAGAGCAAUGACCCAGUGACUCAUUGCCGUUCUUCACACACUGUUAUCCCUUCAACCCUUUUGAGGACAGAACAAAAUGCUUGAGCAUACACUCCAAUAUGUGGAUCCUCCCACAGUGGGAGGAUUAGGACAGCUGCCCAUGGCUGUCAACAUGUUGUGUGUGGUUGACCCUCCUCAGUCUGGUAAAAACCUGUGACUCCUUUCUUUUCAUCUUUCCUGGUACAGGGAUGGGUGUGGCUGGUGGUGAAUGUGAUGCAGACAUACUUAAAACAGACCUUUUCUUGCCAGCCCCCCAAAGUUAAAGUCUAAAUGAGCUGAUGUGUGGAUGCAAAUGUGCAGAACAUCAAUAGCCAAGAUAUUUAGGAACAGAAAUUGAGUAAAAUAUGUCACAAGUUUGUAUGUGACAGGACUCUUCAUUCUGAUCUGACUUAAGUAUAAAAAGGAGUACUGCUGCUGAUAAGGCUGACCAAUCUGUAUGAACUUAAUGAGGAAUGUGCAGCAAAUAAGGAAAUGGAGGACAAAAAGACAAAACAGCUGCCUUUAAAGUAACCAUGCUUGACAAAAUGCACAAACAGAAAACAGACAUGAAGAAAAAUGCAGUAAAUUAGGUCAUUACAGUGUUAAGAGUGCUGACUAGAACAGUGAUAGCUUUUAAGUGCAGCUUAGUUUAGCUACAGAGCUCAAUUAGCCAAGCAGCUGCAGGAAUUUUAACAUUACUCCAUGUCAUUAAACUACGCCACACAUCUUCUCAUCAAACAAUAAUUGUCAUUGAAUUUAGAUGACGUUUAACUGGGGAUAAAACAGUUCACAUCUGUACAACUGAGUACUAAUAGAGGCCUGGAGCACUUCUGCUGCCAUGGCUUCAUUUGCAGGGAUUUUCUUUCGCAUAUGAUGGUGUGGCUCCAAAAUUUGCAUCCUUUUAUAUAUCUGCAGUACAUUUGCUGUUUAUGCUAUUAUUUUGGCUUUUUGGGCACCUCUUUUCUUGUGUUGUGUUUAUUAGUUUCCAUUGUUACAAAUUGUCAGACUUUUGCACAUGUUUAUGAAUGAGCGUCACUCUUGACUUUGCAGCAAGUUUCUGUAAAUGCAGAUUAUUUAGGCCCUGGCAGCCACUAAAAAAGAAGUUACACCUUAAUGCGUUUAAUAAGGUAGUUUUACUGCCAGCCACUUCAUAGAUGAUAAACUUUACUCUAAGGGCCGGCUAUUGGUUGUGACUUACUUUAUGAUUCCCAUCAUAUGCCUGAUGCAUCUCUAAUUUGAGUUCAGGAAGCAGCUUAGCAAUCAUGUACCAUGAAUACAUUGAAUUUAUGUCGGCUUAAGCUGAACUUUCAUUGAGAAUCUUGCAGUGUUUCCAGUCCAAGUCAAGGCGAUGUUGUCCAGUUUUUUUCCAGAAUAUGUCUGAUUUGGACAUAAAUAUUAAACAAGAUAGUACAAGGGUAUCUACCUGCUCUUUCCACUCAUAAACACACCCAUAGUGAUGUUGUUUCACCUUUCCACAGUUGCUGCAUUUCUUUUUAAAAACUCAAUCUGUCAGCUCGGAAGUUAGGCGUCUCUACGUUAGAUAGUAACCUGCUUUAACUGUCAGUCACAGCCCAGUUUAAGCACAGACUCGAGUUGCAGCCAGCCAUAGUCUGCAAACUGACAGGAAAAUGAAAGCCUCCUGUUCUGUUUGAAACUGGCAUCCUCUGAUUUUCCCUGAGAACGUGUAAUAUUUUGACAGUAAUUAUUUAAAAAUAUUUACUUUGCGAGACAAAAAAAGAUCACAGCCAAAUAGCAAAUAUUUCAUAAAGGGAUAAAAGCGCAGGAGGAUGACUGAGGAUGCGCAGUGAUGUGAAUCCAUAAGGGAAUGUGGUAAAUGAGCAAAAACUCUACUUCUGCUGCCCUGGAAGUGUCACUUUAGAGUUUCCUUUUUCUGUUUUUUUAAUGCCUUCUUUCUCUACUCUUUUUUUUUUUAAGAUGAUACGAUACAAUCUCAUAAUUUGUCCUUACAUAUCAAGUGAUGUGAAGGAUAGUGAUUUCUCCUUUUUCAAGUCAAGGACUUGCUAUCCAUUUGGGAACUUCAAAUAAAACCCAAAUAUAGAACCAGUAUAUAAAGUUUAUUUUACACCGUCCCACUAGUAUAAUACUUAUCCUCUCAAAUGUGGCUAUUUGAAGCUCAGAGCUAUUUUCAUAGAGGUACCGCCAUUAGUUGUAAUCUCUUACAGAUCCAGCUGUCAGAUUACAGUAGGGUGUCAUAUCAGUGUUAGACAGAAAGUGUCCUGACUUGAAUACCUUCAGUAAUAUCUUUGUGCGUGUUUACGUGAUAUCGUGUGCUGGAUGCUCGCCACGGUUAGGGCAGUGAUAGUCGAGCAGGUUAAUCCAAAAUAUUAAUAUCUGUCCUAUCUCUUCUUUUUACAGAUUAACACCUUGUCAGGGUUGUGGUUGACUAGUGCUGAAUCAGAUCCGUUCUGAUGGAGAUAUCUUUGAGCUUAGCUCGAUGUGGUGUGAUAAAUCAGUCGAUAAGUCAGAUUAUGUCUCACACUAGCUGAGACUGCAGACUCUAAACUGUCCCAGUGUCUGCCAUAGUCGCCGUAUCACACCAAUCCCCUCUACUUUGAAUACAUACAUACAAUACUGCAUUCAGAAACACGAGAUUACCUUUUUUUAGACCAAGAUGACCAUGUGCGAUGACGAUCUUUGUGCUGUCUGGCUCAUUGCUGUCUGUCCUUUGAGAGAUAACACAUAGACAGUCAUGUUUCUGUAAGAAUGCAGUCUGUGACCCUAGCUUGUAUUAUUUUCUUCCAUAUCAAAUUAACUGUUGUGUGGCUGUGAUAUGGACACUGACGGUAUCAGUACACAGCAAACCAACCCUGAACUUUAUGUUUGUGUUUUGGCCCUGUGUGUGGACAGAACAGUCAAUCAUUCAAGCGGGAAAUGUCAAGAAUCUUCGCCAUGGAAAAUGUGUAAAAGGGAAAUUUGGCUGUGCUCUUGUAUCUGAUCAUUUUUUUGACACCUAGCCUGCUGCAGCGGUUUCAGACAUUAAAAGUAACCUAAUUACUUCAGUAAUGGUGGUCUUGUUUGCUUUUGAAGGCUGCAGAAACAUCUGACUGAAUAGCAGUCUGUUUCAUAACCAGCUAAAUCUCUUCACAGGAGCUCUAACUCAGUCUCAGAAAAACUUUUCAGUGUAUAAAUUAUACCACAGACACAUCAUAUCCUAUCGCUAUUUCCCUUUAUCUGUCUGUACAUCAAAACCCAAUCUCCUCUAAAAUGCAAAUGUUGCUGAUAUGUUAAUUAUAAAGCAGUAUGAGGGUACAAACACAUGAAAUAAAAUCACUCCAAACUGAACAGACAUUGCCUUUUCCUUUUUUUUUUGCUUUGUUUUUCAAUUCUGCAUCAGGAUCCAGUCAUGUCCGGGAAUCUCUGUGUACACAGGCAUGCCAUAUAUAGCCUUGAUGUUGAUGCGAAGAGUUGGUCUUCCUGGAGGCAGAUUAUGCCUCAGACUAUGACCGCCUUCCUGUAAGAGUAUCUGCACUGACACGAUUUUCUAGUCCAGCGCCAGGCAUAAUCUGAGUGCCUGGAAAUGGGCUGAAUAAGCCCAAGUAAAUGCCCUGCUCGCAAUAAUGUAGUAGCUCCAUGCUGGAUACAGGCUGUACGCUGAGCACUGCUGGAUACAGGCCCACUAACUUAUACAACAUGGCACACAUCAGUUAAGUAGGAGUUUUGAAAUUAAUUUGAAAGCACUUUGAAAUAAGUGCCGUACUCAUUUACAUAAAAAUAUCUAUUUUAGCAUAUGGUAAGCUCAUUAAGUCAUCUUUUCACCUGCAGUAAUCCCUCACUAAUGUGUCCAAUUUGUAUAAGGUCAUAGGAAAAUCCAGAUUGCAACUUAAAGCCAAGGCUUUUAUAGACAAUAUAAAAGAUUGAGCGGAGAAUAAAGGACGACAUAAUUCCUUUCAGAUCGUUUCAGAUGAGGUCAAUGCGUAAUCUCUGGUGGGAAUGUGGCUGAAUAAGGCCAAGUCAUGCCCUGCUCUUAUUAUUAUGCAUCUAAUUACUAUGCAUCAGCCGUUAGCUCUUCUGUGCUUUGCUGUGUUGCCAGUGCCAGUUCACAAGGUCAAAUUCAUGCUACUUGUUAAUGUCCUUGCUGAAUAAAAUUAGACUGUGACUCAAACUGUGUGUAAUAUGCAUGAGUGUGUGUGUGUGUGUGUGGCUUGCUCAUAAUCUUAACACACUUGCAUACCCAUCCUACACACAGUGUUUGUCGUAGCCUGUGGCGAUGUUCACAACACCUUAACAUUAAGAAACCGCUCCUAUUAAGACUAAACAUCGAGCGCUGAAUCACAAUGGACACGGGUUCAUUCCCAGACAAGGUUAAGGCUUUAUCUUCAGCCGAGAAAUGAGCUGAGUAAGCAUGAGUCACACUUUCAAUUAUGCAUUAGCCUGUUAGCUUGUGCGGUUUGACUGACAGGCCAUGCUGGCUUUCAGAUAGCUGUCAGAGGCUAGACUUACAAGUGACCCCUUAAUCUAUCUGCACGCUAUCUUUGCCCAGAAACAAGAAAAUGUCAAAAAUAACCAUUAAAAAGGGGGGAAAAAAAUCCCUGCUGAAUCAACAUUCACUCAACUUCAUACUUCAAUGGACAGUUAUGUAUAACUACUCUUACUGGUCUACUAGCACUAUGUAAAAUUCAGGCUAAUAACUUGUUAGCAGGACUCAUUUGCUCUCUUUCCAAAUUAAAGUGCCCUCCUGCAAACACCCUAAUUGGCCUAAAGGGUAUUAAGAAUGUUCACAUGCAAACUUAAUUGUCCAUUAACAUGACUCAUUUGCUUUUAUUUCAAAAAUUACCUGCCUUCACAUCACCACCUCAGGCUGCCUGGAGGAACCUGACUGGCCUCGUUCUGGCGGCUAAAAUUAAAUUCAGAUUAAUUUAGAGUAUUCUUGCAGACACAAAGUUAAUCCCUGUGCUGCAGUCAGACUACUUUUCAGUUGGGUUGGGUAGAUAAUCCACUCCCAGCCCUCGACAGUUAUGUGUGAGUGUGCAAAUGUUCAGUGCAUCAGUGGGGCUGAGCUCAAUUGUGGGCUUCUUUUUCCCCCGCUGUGUGUGUUUACGUGUGUGUUCUGGUGUGAGUGCUGGUCUCUGUGCUGCUGUUGUUUGUAUGCAGAUAAACAGAGGCGGCUUUAGCAGCUACUUAGCGAGCCCUCUGAUGUCCCCGGCUGUGUGUGGUAAUGCUGACACAGUGAACUGCGGCCACUCAGACACAGAUAUUCUGAAUGAAUGCACGUCGAGUCAAGGACGCCUCACAAAUAGGUGUUUACUCUUUCUCCCCCUCCAUUUCUUCCCCUCUUUUGCCUCUCCCUCCCCUCUAAUUUAUUCCAUUUUCUUCUCCCCUUGCCUCCCCCCCCUCCCUUCUGCCUCUUUAUCUCAUUCUCUGACUUAAUUUCUCUGUCUGAUUUUCUCUAUCACACGCAGGCACAGUGAGAUGCUGCCGUGCCACAAAAGACAGCGAGAGCACCCAAGCCAGCCUCCUCCUCAGUUCACCGCCAGUUCACUCGGCUCCACACUGACAGAAAUGAUGCUAGACGGGAAAUGCAAAUUUGACAAUGACAGCCACAAAUGUUAACACCACUCCUCAAAAAAGUUCAGGUACCAAUUUGCAUCCACUUGAAAGAGUAACUCCAGACUUUUUUCGACAAGGGUCUGCAUUAUUCUCGUCUCGGAGGAACGCACUGCUCACUUAGUCUGGCGAGCUGAUAAUAUGCUGUCAUUUUGAGCUGACUCAUAUGUCCCAGGAGCCUCAAAAGCAUCUAUAUAUAUUGUUAGACUUUAUAAAAACAAAAACAGUUCAUUUAUGAAAAAAAGCACACUAAGUGACAUCUCAUCCCUCCCUCGAAAAGUGCAUUCUGGGACGUAUAGUCCCUGCAGGAGUUCACGCAGUCCCUUUGUAAUGUCCUUGUGUAAACUUUAAUCCAACUAAGUUGAUGGAUUGCUCCCGUCAUCUUUUACAGCGUGGACGGCUGGUAAUCUGGUUGGCUGACAGGCUGGUUUACAGGCUGUUUCAUGAGCUAAAGAAAGUGUGGAGGAAAGGCAAGUUGUCCUUGUCAUGUGGAGUGUUUUUUUCUGUUGGACUGUGCCCUUAGACAAGAAUGUAAGAAUCCCUGCUGAGUUACACAGCCUCUAUCAGUCUCCCUCAUACUCUCUACUUUGACUUCCUCCUCUGUCACUUAUUCUUUUUUUCUCUCCCCUUCCUCUGUCUUUCUCUCUCUGUUUCAUGAAUAGCUAUCUGUCAGUGUUUACACUAUCAGUUUCCUUGCACCAAUGCAGUGUGCCUGUCACAGUUGGGAUGCCUAUCUGUCUUCUUCUUCCUCUGACUAUUUUCUCAUGAUCUCUGGCUGCCUCUCUGGCUGGCUGCGUGUCCAUUUCGAUUUCUCUCUCUUUCUCUGUAUGUUUCUCUGUCUGCCUCUUCCUCCCACUCUCCACCUCUCUCUGUCUGCUGCAAAUCCGCCUGAGCAUAAAUGUGCUAAAGUGUCUUCUUCCCGUUGCAUUUUUGUAAAUAGCUGUUCUCUUCCUGUUUCUCGACACUAUAGUUUCUCAUGCCCAUAAUAGCUCAUUUAUCAGCCCUUCUUCUUUCUGCAGGUGUGCACUCACUGCUUCCAUCACUCCCUGACUGAGUCACUGUCUCGCAGAGUCUCAUGAGUUCACCUGAUCUCUGUGAGAGUUUGCUGCUCGGGAGGGUUUCACUCCUCAGGUUUCCUCGGACUUGUAUUGGGAUGAUGAUGAUUUAUUACAUUUUGAGAGGGUUUUGAAUUACUCUGCUCGUUCUUUGUGUUAUCACGCUCAUUCACCUUGCAUCACGAAUGGCAGAGGAAGGUUAAAUCAGGAUUCCUGGGAUGGAAAAGAAACUUUUGAGUGUUAUCUAGUCUGUUGCAGAUUGUAAUUUUAAACACAAACUUGCAGCUUGCAGCUUUUAUCAACUCUGUUGGGAAAAAUAUCCUCACUAUUAACUGAACUCAGCUCAGUUUUUCACGAUCUGGCCUUCGGAUAGGCCGCAUAAAUCAGCUGAUAUCACGGAAAGGCAAUAUGAUUUGUACACAGUAUAUUUUGAUGGAUGAAUCUUGAUUAUUUUGCCCUGCCUGUGUGUGCGUUUCCCCCAGCUUGUAUCCCUCGGUAUCCAUGUGCUCAUGUAUCUGUCUGUGCAUCUGUGUCAGUGUUUGUCUGUUUACACACACACAGCAUGUGCCUGCCUCUGUGUGUAUGUACAGUGUGCACAUUUACCCAUACUGCACUGAUUUGCCUCUGAGUGUGUCAUGUUAGGUUUUUCUAGUCAGCCCUGCCAGGACAUCUCUAGUAGUUGACAGGAAAUUCCCUAUCAACCACCAAGACCAUUGUAGCCAUUGUCCCAAACUUGGGUGCCAUAAAACUCAAUUUCCCAUGGAGGAGGGGGAGGGGGGGUGUUGAUGGUGGUGUUGGUGAUGGGGGCAUUUUGAAGUCCAAAUGUUCUUAUCUCAUGCACUAUUAAGCGAGGCAGUGGGGUGUGUGGGUAACGUGGUUUAGAGUCCGUCUGUCACCGCCUCGGGGUAUAUUGCUUUGAGUGCACACACACACACACGCACGCACGCACGCACGCACACACACACACACACAUUUGCAUGCCCAGUAUGAACAUAUACAUAUGCAUAAACACAGGCAGUAAAACACACAUGCACACACACCGAGCUCUCUCACUCAUUUGGCCAUUAACACACACAAACAUGCACACUGCCUCAGGCUCUAGCUGUGGUCCUAUAACGGCCUGGGUGCCGGUCAGAGGGGUCGACUGAGACUUUCACUUCAUUAAUCACAUCUGGGAAGCUAGCAGCUUUUAUGUAUAUGUUUCCAUAUGUAUUCACCCUCUAUUCAACUUUGACUUGAGGGGAACUUGUGGACCUAAAGCUGUUCGUUGAUUAUUUAAUUAGAUGGACAAAAUAAUGUAAUUGAGAAAAUAGUACAUAUGUAUAAACACUUGUUUAACAUUAUGUGACUGUGCUCAGGGGAAUUCAGAGCAACAUGCGUCAUUUUAAAGACUUCUUUUUGUAAAAGUCUUUGAUUUUGUUGUUGUUUUUUUUUCUUGAAUAUUUAAAAUACAGUGCUUUAACACUCUGAUAACUUGUAGUUGAGCCUAUUUUUUUCUGCACUUUAGCUGCUUUGUGUAUUUUGUUUCCUUCAGCUAAUCAUACAUCUAGAUCUGUCACCAGACAACUGCUGUACAAAUGUGAAGUUGUUAUCAAUGAACUUUAUCCUACUGCAUCAUACUGUAAACUAUUGUACCUCAUCUCAUUGAAUUCUAUUAUAUUGUAUCAUAUUGUAUGACAAGCUAUCAUAUCAAAUCAUAUCGAAAGUCAACUCAUAAGUAACAUGAAAACAAGUGAUGUAUUUACUUUACAAGGAUAAUAAAGAAAAGUAAUAGCUGUCAACACCAAUUUAAUUACAAAACAUGUAAAAGGCUGUUUAUAAAAACAACUGGGAAUGGGGGUUGUCACUUCAUUUAUUGAUAAUGAUACCACUAUUGAGACUCUUUAACAACAUUGGUUGGAAAGUAAUUAUAUAUCACCGCCAAACACCCAAAACGGACAUUUCCUUUUUCUCGACACACUAUUUGAGUACAUCAUGAUAACGUUUUAGUAAUCUUUUCUCAAAAGUCCCUCAACCGAUCUGACCUUGAACACAUCCCCUUCUGCCACCUCUUUUAGUUGGCGAACUAGCUUUUAUUCUGAGAUAAACGUAAAAAGAUUGAUUACUUAUUUUACUUUACAGGUGUGGCUGACCAUGAAGUAGGAAGAUGACUAUACGAAAUGAGAGCAGAAACCAACAGAUGAACCACGCUGCUCCUUAGCUUUAGCCAUACGUCCUAACAUUUUUGAUUUUUCAAGUGUAUUUUUUAUCCCUGUUCCAGAUGAUAACCUAAAGAAGAUUUUUCUUUUUGUAAGUGCAAACACCUGACUGACACUGUACGAGGAAAGAGUGAUGAUAAAUGUCUGAAUUGUUUCAAGCCAUCUUAACUGUGUGCCUGUUUUUGUUUACUUGAAAUGUGGGGGUCACAUUAACUGGUCAGUCAGAGAAAAAACAAGACCUCAGAUGGACCAAAACCAGACACUAAGCACAGUAUCUCAUUUGGGGGGGAAAUAUUUUGACUUUUUCAGCACGCAAAUAUUCAUGAAAGCUCAUAAGCACUUAAUCUCCAGUCUCUAAGCUGCCCUCAGGGGGAUUUGUGUUUCCUCUCACUUUUUAUUGUAUUUGUUGAAAAGUGAUUUUAUAUUUGAGGCAUAUAAACACAACAAUAGAGAGCUUGGAAAAGAUUUGUAUUUCAGGAUUUAGUUUUUCAGAGAAUGACACUGUAACCUCUCUCUGUAUCUGCAAAGGACCUAAUUGUCUUGAUUAAUCUCAUUAAAGCACAGAAAGAAAAACAGUUUGACCUUACACAGCGUUGAAGUCAUUUAUCAUUUAUACGGGUGUAUCUCCAUCUACACAACACACACUUGUUAUCUUUGUUAUCUCUGAUCCACUAAAUGAUGAUGUGAAUGGUGUAACACCAUUUACUCUGUGCACAAACUGACUACACACACACACACACACGCACGCUGCCAUCGCACACCUUUAGCCUGACAGAGACUCCUGAGAGAGGCUUUGGCAGAGCAGUGUGAGGUGCUAUCCCAAAGCUUGCGGUGAAACUGAUGUCACACCAUUUCUAUUGUGUGCGUGUGUGUUUGUGUGUGUUUUGCCCUUGACUGUUGGCACUCCUGCAAGCUGGGAAAAAGGUAGAGGCUUUGCUUGCAAGUGUGUAUGUGUGACAAUUGGGCUGGAGUUGGAGAUUAGCCUAAUAGCUGCAACCAAACAGUCUUUCUCACAAAUUCCCCACACACACGCACACACUCAUGGUGUAUGAUGUCAGUCGUACUAUAAGCAACAAACUAACACCUAAGUAGCUGGCUUUAAUGGGGCAACAUCUAGUGGAGAGAGACUGUUAUGUGAGAUGUGUGUGUGGGUGUGUAUGCAUAUGACAGACAAAGAGAGACAGAGUAAGGAGGAGAGAGGGAGUAUUUGUGUCUCUUUGUGUCCAUGCCAGGAGAAGUGAUGUUUGAUGUGUGUCUGUGUGUGCAUAUGUGGGCCUGACAGUGGGUGAGGAGUGUAUUUGUGUCAGCACAAUUAACAUGAAGGCAGGGGCGAAAGGAAGUGAAGUAUGUCUGAGCAUAUGUGGGUGUGUGAGUGUGUAUGUGGAUAUUGUUUAUAUCUAUCCAUGCUAACUGUGUGCUACAGAGGGAGAAACUAAGGGGGAGAAAAAAGGCAUUCAUACUGUAUUAGCGGCCCCCUUGUGGUUAAAACUAUACAACAUUUCCUCCACUUGGCAAGUCAGAUUGAAAUAUGUGCAGCUUAAAUGUUGUGUUACCUGCGGGGGUCAUUCAUCAGUUAUCAAGCAACUUCUCUGGGGGAUUUUGUAUCCUGCUGACUUUAGUCUGAGCUCAGUCCAAAACUGUUGGCUUCAAACAUCUAAGCCUCAAAAACUUGCAGUCAAUUCUUCAGUUUCUUUUACUUUGUUUCCAGGUUAUCCAGGACUUUGUUUUUUGGACGGUGGCACAAAACACUUGUGCACAGUCCAUGCUUUUGCUGAGUGAGUAACACAGACUAUGACAGACUGUGUGUGAAGUGCUAAGUGAGCAGAAGACUCGACGACAGCCUCUCACAGCGUUCGCCAACAGCAUGUUGCCUUGGCAAAAGAACUGUCCUUUUUGCACAGCGAGCGGUAGCUGAUCAAAUGUGUUUGUGUGUCUGCGUCUGCUUAUGUGUGUGAGUGUGCGUUUCUCAGUUUGUUCUGAACACUAAGUAAAGUCUGAGGAUGCGAGUGGCUGCCUGCUCUGAUAAUGACAGAAAAAAGGUGUGGUUUUCUUGCAUUUGUGUUUCAACACCACUGUCUGUGUGCAUGCAUUCAAGCAUUUCAGCAUGAAUGCGUUGCACCCUGCUGAUCACAAUGGCUUGCAUUAAAGGCCCUCGAGAGAGUGAUAUCGGUGUGCCAUUUAAACUCAUCUAUCAGUUAAAACUACAGGGACAUCUCUGUACACACACACCCACACAAACACACUUCCCUAUUACUUAAAUAGCACGGGGAGGUGAGCAAAAUCUCCAGAUAGACCACUGAACUCUGAAGUGGAUUUAUCAACAGAACACUUUGCAGAGGCAGCGAGGGGAAGGAGGUGGCGGAGGAGCCGAGCAGGGAGAUGAACAGUUGAAAGUAGCAAUGGGGGUCUUUUCUAGUUGAAAGUUUACCUGAGAGUAAGUUUAGGAUCAAGGCUCAGCUGGCUGACUCUCAGCUGACCCAAGUCCAUGGGAGAGUAAAAGAUAAAAAACACAUCUAUUUCAAACUUGGAAGUUGUAAUCAAAGACUUUAGAGACAGAGACGGAGAAGGGAGGGGAGGAGGGGUGUGAGCAGAGGAGAGGUGGAAAGGGAGGUGAUGAGUCAGGGUGACUUUUAUCUUCGCUUUUAUGUUGCAGCCAUCCCUUAUGUCACGUUUUUUUUCCAUCAGACCUUGAGAAAAAUCUCUGUAAUCACACUUUGUGUUUGUCCAAAUUUUCUAUUUGGCAAACAAGAAAACAGAACAAGUACAGCACCCUAGUCAUUUAAGUAGCUCAGAUAAAGACCAGGAUUAUUGUUGAUCUGAUUAAAGCCUAGUGUGUUUAGGUUCUACGUGUCACAUCGAAUUUAACAGCAAUAAAGCUAAUGCAGGAGCACAUAAUAAACUGCAGUUCUUUAAAUGUCCACUUGAAGCUUGCUCCCAAGCUGAGGAAACCUCAGUCAAGCCCAAGUUAGAGUGGCUAUUUUUACAGUAGAAUCAAACACGUUUGGAGCCAGGAACAGGAACGGAUUCAGUCUGCAUAACUUAUUUCUUUACUUAUAACUCAAUUCUUUUGUCUAUACUAAAGCAAAGAGUCAUGCAUAAUUAGGCAUGAUUUUUGGGCAGGGCUUAAUUUGCUGACAUGUGGGCAUAUUGUUUGCUAGGCGGCAAGGCUACUCAACUCUAGUUUAAUUAGAAAUGCGUUGGCAACCCAACCUGGCAACCGCCAUCCUCCGGUUAUGGGUAGGGACAGCAUGCCCACACCAGCCUGAUGUACAGCUACAGGAGCAUUAUUUGUUUUACCAACAGAUGUGAUCGGAUACAUUGGUAUUUUAUCAAUCAGCAACACAUUCCUGGUUUAGGAGGAAGCAAGCCAGUAUGUCAUGCAUUAGACAGUCAGCACAGCAGCACAGUACAGUAAAGUGAUAUGUGAUUCUCUUAUGUUUCUAGAAAGGUGAGAUGCACCAGAUACAUGAAGGUUAAGUUGAUCAACUUGUGUGAGGCAACCUUUUUGAUUUUGUAAAUGUAAAAAUUAUAGAGGAAGCUCACUAUCAGUAGCACUUGGCAUGAGUAGCAUACAAGCAGUGUUUUGGCAGAAGUUAACUGUAAAGUUUGAUACAUUUAACAUGUAUUAAAAAUGUGUUAAACUGACGAUUUUCUGUCAAGAGUAUUACAUUACAGUCCUGGUACUAGCAAGUCAUUGAGUUUAUUGCCUGCAGUAGCAAAGCUGCACUGUUCAGUAAAUAAUACGUAAUGAUAAACCUGUUUAGCAGGAGGUAAGCCCAGUCGUAAAGUCAGAUUAGCAGCAUUGUUCCCACAAGACUGCCUUUCCAUGAUGUUUGCAGUUGUAGAGUCUGUAGGUAAACAUUCCUUACAGAAAUACACUGCCAUUAUUCAGUGAGCGCAGCACACGCACAACUUCCCUCUUAAGGAGGUGAGACAUGAAACCAAAAUGGCCAUCUGUAACUGAAUAUAUUCCACCUUAAAUAUGCCCAGGUCUCCCUCUGACGUUAAUUAACCACCUUUCAGCCUCAUCACUAUUUUGUAACAGUAUCCCAAGCCUGUCUGUUCAAUUAAUUAAGCCCCAAAGUUGCCAUCACAGCCAUAUUCUCAAGGAUGUCUCGAGGCUGCUUAUAUCAUGGAAUUUUUUUUCACCACAGCCCUCUAAAUUUGGAUGAGCAGGGCCUAAUUAGAGGCUGAAUUUGGUUGCGUGGCUUUGGCUGCACCCCUGAGUUUUUCUCCAGCCUUAAAGCACACCAGAGGGGCUGUGUUGGCGUCUCAGCAGAAUUAAGAGCAUACCCGCACAUGUGUUGAAUCAGCUCAUUGGCCUGAAUGUUUUUUCUCCUGCCGCUUUUCAUUUCAUGCUAUGAAAAUCUGAUAAUGCAUGUAAGGAAAGCAUUCCUGUUUGUGUGUGAAUGAAAAAUAGACCAAUGAAAGGCAAGACCUUACAAAAUAUAUAUAGAGAGAAAAGCAAUAUGUAGUCUUCCAUAUUUGCAAAAUAAGUGCAAUGAGAUUUUUGGCAACACAGUAAUGAGAUACUCCUGCCAUAAUUUAGAUUCAUCAGAUUUUAUAGCUAGUCCAUGUUUGGGACUGGCGCAAUUAUGCAUCCACUCUCCAAAAACACAUCUAUGAAAUAUCUCAUGAAUGAUGCCUCCCUGUCUCAUGAGCUUCAAUAUUUGAAGUGUUGGUCUCAUGGGAUGUUACUUUCCACUUACAGUGUAUCUGCAGUGCCAGAAGCAAAGAGCCUGAAGUUGAGCCUAUUAAAUAGAUCCAAGUUUUCCCCAGGCCUGUGUUGAGUCCAGCAGGGUUUUAUGAGGGUAUAUUUCACUGACUCACUGGCACAGCUGAGCAGGGAAAUCCUUCUCUUCACGGUCUAGUUGGGAUGACUGAUGCAAAUAUGCUGCUGCUGAGUCCAGACACUGACACCAUCAUCACACUGACCCAGUUUGAGAGAGAGAGAGAGAGAGAGAGAGAGAGAGAGAGAGAAAGACACAGUAAAAGAGAGAGAGAGAGAGGGUGAAAGAGAGAGAGAGAUGUUCUGAGUCAUUUGUGACUUAUAUUUAUAUCUUUGACUCCACAUGUUUUUAAGUAGUUCCAACACAGUAAAAACCUUCGAGCCAUGCAUGGAAGCUUUAUGGUGCAGGGAGGAAGAUGAGAUAUAAUCCAGGUCAUCUAGGGAGUAAGCACAAAGUGACAGGACAUUUUUCUAGACAUGCAAGGAAAAAAAGGCAGCUUCGGAUCAUUUAUAAUCCUUUUUUUAACAAAAAUAUAUAUUCUGUGCAAGGCAUAUGCUAUUUCCAUACGCUGUACUUUCCUCGAUGACAUGUGUGGUCUCUCUUAGCUAUACAUUAUGUACCAGUGAGUGUUUGGACAUUGAUACUUUUGGGUUUUCAGGAUUUUUGCAACAUUCAAUCUUUUUGUUUAAAGACCGUUUGUGCCAUAUUGUAUAAAGUCAACAACUGCACAUUUGUUGUUGUUGUAGUUUUCCUGAUCUGGAUCUCUAGGGAGGGGAUAAGGGCCUAUGUCCACCAACAGUGUUUUUCACUCUGGCAGCACCCCAAAUCUUAAUUU
rnacentral:lncRNA from 1 species